CUGCGCGCUCUCCCAGGGCCCGCAGGCGAUCCAGGGCGCUCAGACUGGCAGAGACCCACAUUGUGGGGACCUCGGCUCCGAGGCAGGUCCCGGCCCACAGGAGUAUGGGAGUCUGCGGCCCGGGUGCUGGCAGGCUCCGUUGCUUUAUCGCAGAUGCAACGGAGCCCAGCACCAUCCAGGCCCGCGAAACAGUGCCCGGGAAUGUCCUGCCCCGAAGCUCAAGGCUCUUGACGGAACCGUGGCCUGGGCGCGGAAUGCGAGGCUGCGGCGCUGCGAUCGGAAAUUUACCAGCCAGUUCUCGGCUCGCGGCUGCCGCUUCGCUCAAUUUCUCAAACUUAAGCUUAGGUUCUCGCCCCUUCCGCCCCGCAUUCUCCCCUGAGCGCAGGGCUUUGCAAGCCGCAAAAGACACGGGAGAGAGCAGCCCUGGUAGCGAACAAAGCCGCCUCUGUCUCUGCUGCCUCCUGGAUUGCGGGGAUGUGCGUCCAGGUUGGACUCCGCGAGCGCAGAGGCAGCCGGGGGAGCGAGGCAGAAAAGAGUUUCAGAGACACCUGCUCUGCGGAAAAUCGUCCGAAGUUACACACUCUGGCAACACGAAACGCGUCACUUUUCUUUUCUUUUUAAUUAAUUCAGUUUCACGACAA